rnacentral:rRNA from 1 species
AAUCAACGCUGGCGGCGUGCCUCAGACAUGCAAGUCGAACGAUUAAAGCUCUCUUCGGAGAGUGCAUAAAGUGGCGCACGGGUGAGUAACACGUAAGUAAUCUACCUUCGAGGUGGGGAAUAACGUCCGGAAACGGACGCUAAUACCGCAUAAUGCAGCGGCAUCGCAAGAUGACAGUUGUUAAAGAUUUAUCGCUUGAAGAGGAGCUUGCGGCAGAUUAGCUAGUUGGUAAGGUAAUGGCUUACCAAGGCUACGAUCUGUAACCGGUCUAAGNGGACGGUCGGGUCACACUGACACUGGAAUAACGGGUCAGACUCCUACGGGAGGCAGCAGUCGGGAAUUUU